rnacentral:rRNA from 1 species
GUGCCAGCAGCCGCGGUAAUACGUAGGGUGCAAGCGUUAAUCGGAAUUACUGGGCGUAAAGCGUGCGCAGGCGGUUUUGUAAGUCUGAUGUGAAAUCCCCGGGCUCAACCUGGGAAUUGCAUUGGAGACUGCAAGGCUAGAAUCUGGCAGAGGGGGGUAGAAUUCCACGUGUAGCAGUGAAAUGCGUAGAUAUGUGGAGGAACACCGAUGGCGAAGGCAGCCCCCUGGGUCAAGAUUGACGCUCAUGCACGAAAGCGUGGGGAGCAAACAGGAUUAGAUACCCCUGUAGUCC